GGCCAGGUAGCUCAGUCGGUAGAGCAGAGGACUGAAAAUCCUUGUGUCGGCGGUUCGAUUCCGUCCCUGGCCA
rnacentral:tRNA from 6 species